rnacentral:rRNA from 1 species
GGUCUCCGACGGUGUCCAAGCGGAGAGAUCAUUUAUUUGUUUACGCUCUACAACCCUUUGUGAACAUACCUACAACUGUUGCUUCGGCGGGUAGGGUCUCCGCGACCCUCCCGGCCUCCCGCCUCCGGGCGGGUCGGCGCCCGCCGGAGGAUAACCAAACUCUGAUUUAACGACGUUUCUUCUGAGUGGUACAAGCAAAUAAUCAAAACUUUUAACAACGGAUCUCUUGGUUCUGGCAUCGAUGAAGAACGCAGCGAAAUGCGAUAAGUAAUGUGAAUUGCAGAAUUCAGUGAAUCAUCGAAUCUUUGAACGCACAUUGCGCCCGCCAGCAUUCUGGCGGGCAUGCCUGUUCGAGCGUCAUUUCAACCCUCAAGCUCUGCUUGGUGUUGGGGCCCUACAGCCGAUGUAGGCCCUCAAAGGUAGUGGCGGACCCUCCCGGAGCCUCCUUUGCGUAGUAACUUUACGUCUCGCACUGGGAUCCGGAGGGACUCUUGCCGUAAAACCCCCCAUUUUUCAAAUGUUGACCUCUGAUUAUGCAGGAAUACUCGCUGAACUCAAUAAUAUCAAUAACUGUAGGAAUCUUUUCCUUU